UACGAAGGGGGCUAGCGUUGCUCGGAAUCACUGGGCGUAAAGGGUGCGUAGGCGGGUUUCUAAGUCAGAGGUGAAAGCCUGGAGCUCAACUCCAGAACUGCCUUUGAUACUGGAAGUCUUGAGUUCGGGAGAGGUGAGUGGAACUGCGAGUGUAGAGGUGAAAUUCGUAGAUAUUCGCAAGAACACCAGUGGCGAAGGCGGCUCACUGGCCCGGUACUGACGCUGAGGUGCGAAAGCGUGGGGAGCAAACAGG
rnacentral:rRNA from 1 species